GGACUGCUGACAGAGGGAGAGCCUUGUAAAGUUCAGUAAAAGUAUUAUGAAAAGGCACAGACAAGGGGGAGGACGAACCAUCAUACUUUUGAAGAUGAUGGACUGCUGCACUGAUGGGAUUUAUUUCUAACUGCUUCCAUGUCCUCCUGAGAGGAAAUAUGACAGCACUAUAACAAUCUGAAUGUGAAAACAAGCAUUUCACGGCUGCAGAUAAAAAGAACAUCUGAAGCGGUAGUGUAAUUAUCUACUGCAACAUAACUUUUCUUUGCAGGUACUGCCAAGACUCUGAACAACAAUCAAUACAACACACCACAUGGACUGAAACACUGGCAUCUGGCACCUGUUGGUCAUAGAGUUCAGCCCUUUUAAGACUUUGCACUCAAACAUUUUUUAGACUUAACUGCCUGUCUUUUAAAAAAUGGCCUUAAUAAGAAGAAGCGUAAGGACAGAACUCCCUCCUCAUUUAUCUGAUGUACUACAAAGACUAUGUGGAGCUGGGAGACUAUUUAUUGAGCUGUAUGACAUUAAGGAAGAAAGAAUGCAAGCCAUUGCCAGCGAGCUUGUGGAGAUAUCUGAUAAAGUAAAGCAGAUGCAGACAGGAGUAA